UGGGGAAUUUUGGACAAUGGGCGAAAGCCUGAUCCAGCAAUGCCGCGUGUGUGAAGAAGGCCUUCGGGUUGUAAAGCACUUUUGUCCGGAAAGAAAUGGCUCUGGUUAAUACCUGGGGUCGAUGACGGUACCGGAAGAAUAAGGACCGGCUAACUACGUGCCAGCAGCCGCGGUAAUACGUAGGGUCCAAGCGUUAAUCGGAAUUACUGGGCGUAAAGCGUGCGCAGGCGGUUGUGCAAGACCGAUGUGAAAUCCCCGAGCUUAACUUGGGAAUUGCAUUGGUGACUGCACGGCUAGAGUGUGUCAGAGGGGGGUAGAAUUCCACGUGUAGCAGUGAAAUGCGUAGAGAUGUGGAGGAAUACCGAUGGCGAAGGCAGCCCCCUGGGAUAACACUGACGCUCAUGCACGAAAGCGUGGGGAGCAAACAGGAUUAGAUACCCUGGUAGUCCACGCCCUAAACGAUGUCAACUAGUUGUUGGGGAUUCAUUUCCUUAGUAACGUAGCUAA
rnacentral:rRNA from 1 species